UUAACCCAUGAGAAUAGGAAAUCGGCGUAAAGAGUGUUUAGGAUAUUAAUAUAAUGAAAUUAAAAAAUGACUUAGCUGUAAAAAGCUCAUUUCAUAAAUAAAAACAUCUACAAAAGUGAUUUCAUAAGAUCUUAUUACACGUGAGCUAAGGCCCAAACUAGGAUUAGAUACCCUAUUAUGCUUAGCCCUAAACUUAGACAGUUACUUAACAAAAUUGUACGCCAGAGAACUACGAGCUACAGCUUAAAACUCAAAGGACUUGGCGGUGCUUUAUACCCCCUAGAGGAGCCUGUUCUGUAAUCGAUAAACCCCGAUCAACCUCACCAAUCUUUGCUAAUUCAGCCUUUAUACCGCCAUCUUCAGCGAACCCUAAAAAGGAAUAAAAGUAAGCACAAUGAUUCAAAUCAUAAAUAAGUUAGGUCAAGGUGCAGCCUAUAGAUUGGAAUGAAAUGGGCUACAUUCUUUACUAAAAAGUAUAACGGAAAUUAUUAUGAAACUAAAAAUUGAAGGAGGAUUUAGCAGUAAAUUAAGAGUAGAGUGCUUAAUUGAAUUUGGCAAUGAAGCAUGCACACACCGCCCGUCACCCUCUUCAA
rnacentral:rRNA from 1 species